GCCUAGCUUGCUAGGUGGAUUAGUGGCGCACGGGUGAGUAAUAUAUAGAUAACGUGCCUCUUAGUCUGGGAUAGCCAUUGGAAACGAUGAUUAAUACUAGAUAUUCCUUCUAACAAUAAUGUUAGUCGGGAAAGUUUUUCGCUAAGAGAUCGGUCUAUAUCCCAUCAGCUAGUUGGUAGUGUAAGAGUCUACCAAGGCAAUGACGGGUAGCGGGUUUGAGAGGAUGAUCCGCCACACUGGUACUGAGACACGGACCAGACUCCUACGGGAGGCAGCAGUGAGGAAUAUUGCACAAUGGAGGAAACUCUGAUGCAGCAACGCCGCGUGGAGGAUGACGCAUUUCGGUGUGUAAACUCCUUUUAUAUGUCAAGAAAAUGACGGUAGCAUAUGAAUAAGCACCGGCUAACUCCGUGCCAGCAGCCGCGGUAAUACGGAGGGUGCAAGCGUUAUUCGGAAUCACUGGGCGUAAAGGACGCGUAGGCGGGAUGCCAAGUCUGAUGUGAAAUCCUAUGGCUUAAC
rnacentral:rRNA from 1 species